rnacentral:rRNA from 1 species
AUACGGAGGAUCCGAGCGUUAUCCGGAUUUAUUGGGUUUAAAGGGUGCGUAGGCGGCCUUUUAAGUCAGCGGUGAAAGUCUGUGGCUCAACCAUAGAAUUGCCGUUGAAACUGGGAGGCUUGAGUAUGUUUGAGGCAGGCGGAAUGCGUGGUGUAGCGGUGAAAUGCUUAGAUAUCACGCAGAACCCCGAUUGCAAAGGCAGCUCGCCAAGCCAUGACUGACGCUGAUGCACGAAAGCGUGGGGAUCAAACAGGAUUAGAUACCCUGGUAGUCCACGCAGUAAACGAUGAUCACUAGCUGUUUGCGAUACAGUGUAAGCGGCACAGCGAAAGCGUUAAGUGAUCCACCUGGGGAGUACGCCGGCAACGGUGAAACUCAAAUGAAUUGACGGGG